UGCCCGGGCUCACCUCCGCGGGGCAUGUCCGCGCUGCUCUCGCCGCGCGCCUGGGACUGCUAGCUUCUCGGGCGCUUCCUGCGCGCGGGGCCCCGCAACUGGCCCCGAAGCCCGGCUCGCGCUUUGCUCGCGGACCGCCGCCGUCAUGGGGCUGCAGCCCCUGGAGUUCAGCGACUGCUACCUCGAUAGCCCGUGGUUCCGGGAGAGGAUCCGCGCCCACGAAGCGGAGCUGGAGAGGACCAACAAGUUCAUCAAAGAGCUCAUCAAGGACGGCAAGAACCUCAUCGCCGCGACCAAAAGUCUUUCGGCAGCCCAGCGGAAGUUUGCUCAUUCACUGAGAGACUUCAAGUUUGAGUUUAUCGGCGAUGCAGAGACUGAUGAUGAACGCUGCAUAGACGCUUCGUUACGUGAAUUUUCUAACUUUUUGAAGAACCUGGAAGAACAGAGAGAAAUUAUGGCAUUAAGUGUCACCGAAACCCUGAUUAAACCCUUGGAAAAAUUCAGAAAAGAGCAACUUGGAGCCGUCAAGGAAGAAAAAAAGAAGUUUGACAAAGAGACAGAAAAGAACUAUAGCCUAAUAGAUAAACAUUUGAAUUUAUCAGCAAAAAAGAAAGACUCACAUUUACAAGAGGCAGAUAUCCAAGUGGAACAGAACCGGCAACACUUUUACGAACUGUCUCUUGAAUAUGUGUGUAAGCUUCAGGAAAUCCAAGAAAGGAAGAAGUUUGAGUUUGUGGAACCUAUGCUGUCCUUUUUUCAGGGAAUGUUUACUUUCUAUCAUCAAGGCCAUGAACUUGCCAAAGACUUCAAUCACUACAAAAUGGAACUACAGAUCAACAUUCAGAAUACACGGAAUCGUUUUGAAGGAACAAGGUCAGAAGUGGAAGAGCUUAUGAACAAGAUUAGACAGAAUCCCAAGGACCACAAACGAGCAAGUCAGUUCACAGCGGAAGGCUACCUGUAUGUACAGGAAAAAAGGCCUCCUCCGUUUGGUUCCAGCUGGGUCAAACACUACUGCAUGUAUCGGAAAGCGGCCAAGAAGUUCAACAUCAUUCCGUUCGAGCACAGAUCUGGGGGGAAACUAGGGGAUGGAGAGGUGUUCUUUUUGAAAGAAUGUACCAGAAGACAUACUGACUCCAUCGACAGAAGGUUUUGUUUUGAUGUAGAAGCUGCUGACCGGCCUGGAGUUUCUUUGACCAUGCAGGCGUUUUCAGAAGAAGAGAGGAAGCAGUGGUUGGAAGCUCUGGGUGGAAAAGAAGCUCUGUUCCCUAGUUUUAAUAGAGCCAUCAUCCCAAGACCAGAAGGAGGUGCACAGUUGGAUAAGAUGGGAUUCACAAUUCUUAGAAAAUGCAUCAGUGCAGUUGAAACACGAGGUAUAAACGACCAAGGAUUGUACAGAGUUGUGGGGGUGAGUUCAAAGGUCCAGAGACUUCUGAGUAUGUUGAUGGAUGUGAAAACCUGCAAUGAGGUGGACCUGGAGAAUUCUAUAGAUUGGGAAGUGAAGACAAUAACGAGCGCCCUGAAACAGUAUUUGAGGAGUCUUCCAGAGCCGCUGAUGACCUAUGAAUUACACGGAGACUUCAUUGUUCCAGCCAAAAGCGGCAGCCCAGAAUCUCGUGUUAACGCUGUCCAUUUCUUGGUACACAAACUGCCGGAGAAAAAUAAAGAAAUGUUGGACAUUUUGGUGAAACACUUAACUAAUGUUUCAAAUCACUCCAAGCAGAACCUCAUGACCGUGGCAAAUUUAGGAGUGGUGUUUGGACCAACUCUGAUGAGGCCACAGGAAGAAACUGUUGCUGCCAUCAUGGAUUUGAAGUUUCAGAAUAUUGUCGUGGAAAUUUUAAUUGAAAACCAUGAAAAGAUGGAGGGAGGAUAAAGUCCUGCUGUAAUGAAGUGUGGGAAGAAUAUAGUGAUUGAAAGGGGGUGGCGCGGAGUGGAUCCCUGGUCCGGGAACUAAGAUCCCGCAGCGUGGCCAAAAAGAAAGAAAAAAAAAAGCGGAAUCUGCGCUUUCACAAGACCUCCAAGUGACUUGUGCAUGCAUGCGUCAGUGUUUGAGAAACAGUAGUGUAACAGUUGUUCUUCAAAAAGCUCAUGGCGGGCUUCCCUGAUGGUGCAGUGCUUAAGAAUCCACCUGCCAAUGCAGGGGACCCAGGUCCGAUCCCUGGUCCGGGAAGAUCCCACAUGCCACGGAGCAACUAAG